AGGAACUGCAUUGGACAGAACUUCGCUAUGAAUGAAAUGAAAGUGUCUGUGGCAUUAACCUUGAACCGUUUCGAGCUUUUACCAGAUCUAUCUAACCCGCCUCUGAUAGUGCCCCAGCUUGUUCUACGCUCCAAAAAUGGAAUCCAUGUGUAUCUGAAAAAAGCAAGCCAAAAAUGAGGCAGUAGCCGGUGCACACUCACGGACUCCCCACUACCUCAGGCCUAAUAAAUUCUUUAAAGUAUUAUUACUGCCAUAUAGCAACACGUUUGUCAAUAAUAGAAUGGGCCCUCUUAUAUUUCAGACUCCACUCGUGGGGAUUAGUAGUUUAUAUUUGACAAUGACAUGCAAUUGCAGUACAAAUAAAAAGAAGAGGAUAAGAAGGCUUAUAACGCUAGUUAAAUAAAAGUGUAAAAAGACACACUGUUAAAACGUAAUAAAAAAGAUGGCUUAGGGUAUGUUGAACAAUAUGGCAAAUAAAUACUAUUGUCCUCUAGAGUAGUCAGAAGUUAGAACAACUGAAUGGAAACGCAGGAUUGAGUACUGCCAGUUGUAAAAUGAGGUUCCAUGCGUUAAAAAAAAAACUGUUGUAAAUUAAAACUCUACCAUCCCAAAAUAUUUUCAGAUAAAGGGUUCAUCAGAGCCAGUUAAAACCAGUCUAAGAUAGAAUUUGUUAUUAUUACAGUGUAUAGAUUGGCAUCCUGUCAAUCAGAUGCCGCUGGUAGUACAUUGAAUGUGUUAUUGACAUAUUUUUGGUCCUGAUGGCUUAGGUUGUCAGCCGGGAGUGGUCCAAAAAAUGGACUCCUCUGCUAAUUGGUCACUUUGAGUAAACAUAAUCUCUUAACCGCUUACUCUUUUCAUUUGUAUUUAAAUCUUUCGAGUUAUCAUCUUCCUAAUGGUAGCACCCAUAAUGCAUCAGGAGAGCAUAGAAGAUCUUUUACAUAACUGUAAAUGGGGUUAUGCCAAUGUGCAUAGCAGAAAUGUAAGAAAUCAAAACAGCCAACUGGAUAGCCAGAAAAUAUAGAUGUACAUCCCAGUGUAGGUCCAGUCUGGACUGAAUUCUGACUGUUGGAAGCUUUGCAAAAGUAUGAGGAAUGAACUACUACGAUGAAAAAAUAAUAAACUUUAAAAUUUUAA